rnacentral:misc_RNA from 1 species
UGACGUUGAAACUCAGAAUUUGAAUGUGUAGGUAGAUGUUGACGCAUUAUUCUUGCCGGUCGGGACGCAUGUAAGCCCCAAGAAUGUCUGAUUUUCGAAAUAUCACAGUUUUGUGUUUGGCUUCGAGAAGGUUUUCAACUGUGUUACCUUUGUAUGCAGAGGAUUUAUUGCUAUCCAGAAAGAUUUUCAUGGCUAUUUAAAAGCCUUACCACACUUUUAGUUCCAACCAU